rnacentral:rRNA from 1 species
GCUGCUGGCUCAGGACGAACGCUGGUUCGUGCCUAAUACAUGCAAGUCGACAUGAUGAAGGAGAUACUUGUAUCUUUUGAAGAGCGGCGAACGGGUGAGUAACGCGUGGGGAAUCUGCCAAUGAGUGGGGGACAACAUUUGGAAACGAAUGCUAAUACCGCAUAAAAUCUAUUGAGACAUCUCAAGAGAUUGAAAGGAACAAUUGUUUCGCUCGUUGAUGAUCCCGCGUUGUAUUAGCUAGUUGGUGAGGUAACGGCUCACCAAGGCGAUGAUACAUAGCCGACCUGCAAGGGUGAUCGGCCACAUUGGGACUGAGACACGGCCCAAACUCCUACGGGAGGCAGCGUUAGGGAAUCUUCGGCAAUGGACAAAAGUCUGACCGAGCAACGCCGCGUGAGUGAAGAAGGUUUUCGGAUCGUAAAGCUCUGUUCUUGUUAAAGAACGUUGAUGAGAGUGGAAAGUUCAUCAAGUGACGGUAAACAACCAGAAAGGGACGGCUAACUACGUGCCAGCAGCCGCGGUAAUACGUAGGGCCCGAGAAUUGUCCGGAUUUAUUGGGCGUAAAGCGAGCGCAGGUGGUUUCUUAAGUCUGGUGUCAAAGGCUACCUGCUCAACAAGUAGUGUGCAUUGGAAACUGGGAGACUUGAGUGCAGGAGAGGAGAGUGGAAUUCCAUGUGUAGCGGUGAAAUGCGUAGAUAUAUGGAGGAACACCGGAGGCGAAAGCGGCUCUCUGGCCUGUAACUGACACUGAGGCUCGAAAGCGUGGGGAGCAAACAGGAUUAGAUACGGUAGUCCACGCCGUAAACGAUGAGUGCUAGAUGUGUGACGGAGCAAUAAGUUCUCCGUAUCGCAGCUAACGCAAUAAGCACUCCGCCUGGGGAGUACGACCGCAAGGUUGAAACUCAAAGGAAUUGACGGGGGCCCGCACAAGCGGUGGAGCAUGUGGUUUAAUUCGAAGCAACGCGAAGAACCUUACCAGGUCUUGACAUACUCGUGCGAUUCUUAGAGAUAAGAAGUUCCUUCGGGACACGGGAUACAGGUGGUGCAUGGUUGUCGUCAGCUACGUGUCGUGAGAUGUUGGGUUAAGUCCCGCAACGAGCGCAACCCUAUGUUUAGUUGCCAUCAUUCAGUUGGGCACUCUAGACAGACUGCCGGUGAUAAACCGGCGGAAGGUGGGGAUGACGUCAAAUCAUCAUGCCCCUU